rnacentral:lncRNA from 1 species
UCUGAUUUGUACCAAACUGAUUUCGUUCGAAACUAGACUUGUAGACCUUUCUUUUGAUAUAUAGAUUAAAAAUUUUAGAAUUUAAAUGCCUACCCUAUUAUCUGUUGCAUCCGACCCUAUGAAUUCUGCAAAACAGUGAUUUUGUUUUUGACCUUGUGUUACCAAAUCAAAGGUAACUCCUUGUUGGAAACCAUGAUUCGUACGAAACUUGUUUCAACAGAAAAUAGAUUGAUAUAUCUUUUGACAAUAGCCUUCUUGAGGGUAUUGGAGCAUAAUUGACAAUCUGAAUCAUUUGUUCAA